AGACUAUAGUUUAAUCUAAAAUGUUAGCCUGUGGGCCUAAAGAAGAGCUAGACUCUGGUCUUA
rnacentral:tRNA from 1 species